rnacentral:lncRNA from 1 species
AUCUCCUCCAACCCUUCUACUGUUUAUAGUGAUACUCUCCUCCAACUCUUCUACUGUUUAUAGUGAUAACUCUCAACCUUCUACUGCUUACGUAUAGUUAAUCUCCUCCAACCCUUCUACUGUUUAUAGUGAUACAUCUCCUCCAACCCUUCUACUGUUAUAGUGUACAUCUCCUCCAACCCUUCUACUGUUUAUAGGUGAUACAUCUCCUCCAACCCUUCUACUGUUUAUAGUGUUACAUCUCCUCCAACCCUUCUACUGUUUAUAGUGUUACAUCUCCUCCAACUCUUCUACUGUUUAUAGUGUUACAUCUCCUCCACUCUUCUCUACUGCUACUGUUUAUAGUGAUACAUCUCCUCCAACCCUUCUACUGUUUAUAGUGAUACAUCUCCUCCACCUUCUACUGCUACUGUUUAUAGUGUUACAUCUCCUCCAACCCUUCUACUGUUUAUAGUGAUACAUCUCCUCCAACUCUUCUACUGCUUACUGUUUAUACUGUUACAUCUCCUCCAACCCUUCUACUGCUUCUGUUUAUAGUGUUACAUCUCCUCCAACCCUUCUACUGUUUAUAGUGAUACAUAUCCUCCAACCCUUCUACUGGCUACUGUUUAUAGUGUUACAUCUCUCCAACCCUUCUACUGUUUAUAGUGUUACAUCUCCUCCAACCCUUCUACUGUUAUAGUGAUACAUCUCCUCCAAC